rnacentral:rRNA from 1 species
CUACGGGGCGCAGCAGUGGGGAAUAUUGCACAAUGGGCGCAAGCCUGAUGCAGCCAUGCCGCGUGUAUGAAGAAGGCCUUCGGGUUGUAAAGUACUUUCAGCGGGGAGGAAGGGAGUAAAGUUAAUACCUUUGCUCAUUGACGUUACCCGCAGAAGAAGCACCGGCUAACUCCGUGCCAGCAGCCGCGGUAAUACGGAGGGUGCAAGCGUUAAUCGGAAUUACUGGGCGUAAAGCGCACGCAGGCGGUUUGUUAAGUCAGAUGUGAAAUCCCCGGGCUCAACCUGGGAACUGCAUCUGAUACUGGCAAGCUAGAGUCUCGUAGAGGGGGGUAGAAUUCCAGGUGUAGCGGUGAAAUGCGUAGAGAUCUGGAGGAAUACCGGUGGCGAAGGCGGCCCCCUAGACGAAGACUGACGCUCAGGUGCGAAAGCGUGGGGAGCAAACAGGAUUAGAUACCCGGGUAGUC